AUGUUUCACAGGAUGCAGCCCAUUCAGGUGUUCUGUCCUACACCGGGAGGAAGAAAUGCUACACAGAGAGGCUGAGAAGAAUCUGAACAAACAGGCCUUGCUGGAUUUCCCCUUCAGUUUAUUGCCAUUUGCUUGCACUUUUUGUCGAAUCACAUUUCUACAUGGUGUUAACCAAACAUAAAAUACAGUUUUCCCUGGGUCUUUGCAUCUUCAUUUCUGAAGGUUCCCCUGUCACAUAAAAUGUUGAUUAAAUAAAUUUGUUACAUUUUUCCCUUGCUAAUCUGUCUUUUGUUAUAGGAGAGUUGGCUGUGACCCUUGUGAUGAAUGAGAAGAGGUAUUACCUUUUCACCCCUACACUCCCAUGGGUAUGUCCAGGGUUACACACAAUUCCUCACAUGCUAACUAAGACACCAUCCCACAAGAAAG
rnacentral:lncRNA from 10 species